UCUAAGGAAGCUGGGAGGAGCAAUUUUCUCAGCAAAACGUCAAAGUCAUUCACGUGGACCUGUAGCUCAGCAGGUUAGAGCGCACGCCUGAUAAGCGUGAGGUCGGUGGUUCGAGUCCACCCAGGUCCACCAAAGAACACUUCGAUCUUUAACAACCACAUAGCAAAAGAUAUUUCCGGCCAAGUGAGAAAGAGCAUCGGGAGGAUGCCUUGGCACAUGGCGCCGAUGAAGGACGCAAGCAAGCGAUAACCACGGGAAGCGGCAAGACGCAUCGAUCC
rnacentral:misc_RNA from 1 species